CGGCGCGCACCUGCCCCGAUCCCCCCCCCACGCCCAGGACCCCUGCGCAGCGCGCCCCGCACACCCGGUUCCGGACCACUCCAGACCCGAGUGCCCCGCGAGGCUGCUCGCAGACAGGGCUACAAGGACCCUCGCAGAAUCUCUGCGGAGAUGUGUGUUUCCUCAGAGCUCUAUAAGUUUGCCAACUGGACACAUAAAGCAGGAGCCAUGCACUGAAAUGCCCACGGAAGCCACAGAUAUCAUAUUUGGUUAAAACUGGCCCACAGAGUGCAACUACAUGAGAACAUAUCCUUGGGAAAGACAGCUGAGGCACAAAGCCCAAACCACAGGCUACUGAAAUCUUGGUGGAAAGUGACAGCUCUGGACUGUUGACCUUUAAAGUGCUGAUGACUACAAUGAGCUGUGGAGGGUAUAUGAUUUGUUUUGAACACAUUUACUAUGAUUGAUGGCCCAGAUUUGGCAAGUUGGUUCAAUCCCCAUAGAGAUGAAAGUUUCACUGCCUUCCCUCUUGCAACAUUCCUGUUGAGACAGGUUUCACUCCUAUUGGCCAAUGCAAUAACAAAUCACUUAUAUUUUCUGCAUAAGGAAUUCAUCAACUACACCAUGGAUCGAUGCUCUAUAUACUAUUCCUGAGUCAACAUAAGCAGUUAAUUAAACUUACUAAAAUGCCUCUGGAAUUUUUCCUUCAUGCUACUGAGCUUCAAGGCACAAGAGUUUCAGUUUAAACCAGUAAUUAUACAUGUAACUUUGUGAGGUGAUUCAGGGCUAUGGCCAGGGUCAGUUUAGGGAGUGAUAUAUCAAAAAGGACAGGUUAUAAAACUAGUAUGGGGGGCUGGGGAUUUAGCUCAGCGGCAAAAGCGCCUGCCUGGCAAGCACAAGGUCAUGAGUUCGG